GUACACACCGCCCGUCACACCAUGGGAGUGGGUUGCAAAAGAAGUAGGUAGCUUAACCUUCGGGAGGGCGCUUACCACUUUGUGAUUCAUGACUGGGGUGAAGUCGUAACAAGGUAACCGUAGGGGAACCUGCGGUUGGAUCACCUCCUUACCUUAAAGAA
rnacentral:rRNA from 5 species